GACGAACCGUGCGAACGUUGUUCGGAAUCACUGGGCUUAAAGGGCGCGUAGGCGGGCUGUCAAGUCUGGGGUGAAAUGCCGCGGCUCAACCGUGGAACUGCCUCAGAUACUGACGGCCUCGAGGAAGGUAGGGGCAUGCGGAACUGUAGGUGGAGCGGUGAAAUGCGUUGAUAUCUACAGGAACUCCGGUGGCGAAAGCGGCGUGCUGGACCUUUUCUGACGCUGAGGCGCGAAAGCGUGGGGAGCAAACAGG
rnacentral:rRNA from 1 species